CUCCGUAGGUGAACCUGCGGAAGGAUCAUUAUUGAAUAAAUCUGACGUGGUUGUCGCUGGCUCCCCCGGGAGCAUGUGCACGCCCGUCACCUUUAUUUCUCCACCUGUGCACACACUGUAGGCCUGGAUACCUCUCGUCGCAAGGCGGAUGCGUGGCUUGCUGUCGCUUUCGAAAGAAGGCCGGCUUGCCAUGAAUUUCCAGGUCUAUGAUUUCUUACACACCCCAAACUGAAUGUUAUGGAAUGUCAUCUCAAGGCCUUGGUGCCUAUAAACCUAUACAACUUUCAGCAACGGAUCUCUUGGCUCUCGCAUCGAUGAAAAACGCAGCGAAAUGCGAUAAGUAAUGUGAAUUGCAAAAUUCAGUGAAUCAUCGAAUCUUUGAACGCACCUUGCGCUCCUUGGUAUUCCGAGGAGCAUGCCUGUUUGAGUGUCAUUAAAUUCUCAACCUCACCAACUUUGUUGUGUGCAGGCUUGGAUGUGGGGGUUGCAGGUCCACUCUCGUGGUCUGCUCCUCUGAAAUGUAUUAGUGGGUUGUGCCCCUAAUCUAUUGGUGUGAUAAUUAUCUACGCCGUGGAUUGGGUUGGUUACUUGAAGACCUGCUUCUAACCGUCCCUUGGACAACUUUUGACAAUUUUGACCUCAAAUCAGGCAAGACUACCCGCUGAACUUAAGCAUAUCAAUAAGCGGAGGAAA
rnacentral:rRNA from 1 species